AUUGAACGCUGGCGGCAGGCCUAACACAUGCAAGUCGAGCGAGCGGCGGACGGGUGAGUAAUGUCUGGGAAACCGCCUGAUGGAGGGGGAUAACUACUGGAAACGGUAGCUAAUACCGCGUAUCAUCAGAUGUGCCCAGAUGGGAUUCGCUAGUAGGUGGGGUAACGGCGCACCUAGGCGACGAUGCCUAGCUGGUCUGAGAGGAUGACCAGCCACACUGGAACUGAGACACGGUCCAGACUCCUACGGGAGGCAGCAGUGGGGAAUAUUGCACAAUGGGCGCAAGCCUGAUGCAGCAAUGCCGCGUGUGUGAAGAAGGUCUUCGGGUUGUAAAGCUCUUUCAGCGGGGAGGCGUUACCCGAAGAGGAAGCAACGGCUAACUACGUGCCAGCAGCAGCGGUAAUUC
rnacentral:rRNA from 1 species